rnacentral:rRNA from 1 species
UACGUAGGCAGCAAGCGUUGUUCGGAAUUACUGGGCGUAAAGAGUGUGUAGGCGGUGCUCUAAGUUUGUGGUGAAAUCUCCCGGCUUAACUGGGAGGGUGCGGCGAAAACUGGAGUGCUAGAGGGUGGGAGAGGAAAGCGGAAUUCCUGGUGUAGCGGUGAAAUGCGUAGAUAUCAGGAGGAACACCUGCGGUGUAGACAGCUUUCUGGACCACUUCUGACGCUGAGACACGAAAGCGUGGGGAGCAAACAGG